rnacentral:rRNA from 1 species
GGGGGAAAAAUUAAUAAAUUUAUAAGUAAUUAAAGUAGUUUUAAUAUUAUAAUUGGGGGUUUUAGUAUUAAUAAAGAAAUAAUUAUAAAAUUUAUAGUUAAUUAGUAUUGUAAAAGAAAUUUAAAAUAUUUUGAAAAUAAAUUUAUUUAAAAGUAAAUUUAAUUUAUUGUAUCUUGUGUAUCAGAGUUUAUUAAAUAUAUAUUUUAGUUUAAUUAUUUCUCGAAUUUAAAAGAGAUAAUUAAUUAUAAAAGUUAUUGUAGCAUAAAUAUUUUUAAUAAUUAAUUUGAAAUGAAAUGUUAAUCGUUUUUAAAGAUAUCUAGUUUUUUUAGAAAAAAAUUUAAUUUUAAAUUUGUUUUAUGAAUUAAUUAAUUAGUUAAUUAAUUUAAAAUAUAAUUUUAUAUUUUAAGGGAUAAGCUUUAAAUUAAAUUUUUAUAAUUAUUAUUUAUUUUAUGAAAUUUUUAAAAUUUAUAUUAUUUAAAAAUUUUAAUUUGUUAUAAAUAAUUUCAUUAUUAAAUAAAAUUUUAUAAUAAUUUAAUUUUUUAUAAAAAAAUAAUUUUUAAUGAUAUAAAAUUAGUUAUAAUGAUAAAAUUAGUAUUAAACCAUAAAAAAUUAUUUAAUUUUUUAAAAUUAAGUAAAAGGAAUUCGGCAAAUAAUUAAUUAUAUUCACUUGUUUAUCAAAAACAUGUCUUUUUGAAAAUAAUUUAAAGUCUAAUCUGCCCACUGAUAAUAUAUUAAAGGGCUGCAGUAUUUUGACUGUACAAAGGUAGCAUAAUCAAUAGUCUCUUAAUUGGUGACUUGUAUGAAAGAUUGGAUGAAAUAUAAACUGUCUCUUAUUUAUAAAAAGAAUUUAAUUUUUUGAUUAAAAAGUCAAAAUAAAUUUAAAAGACGAGAAGACCCUAUAGAGUUUUAUAUUUAAAUUUAUUGAGAUUAUAUUUUAGUUUAAUAAUUAAAAUUAAUUUAAAUAUUUUGUUGGGGUGAUAAAAAAAUAUAAAUAACUUUUUUUAAUAUGUUAUCAUAAAUAAAUGAAUAAAUGAUCCAGAAAUUUUGAUUAAAAGAAAAAAUUACCUUAGGGAUAACAGCGUAAUUUUUUUUUUUAGUUCAAAUAAGAAAAAGAGUUUGCGACCUCGAUGUUGGAUUAAGAUAAAAUUUAUAUGCAAAAGUAUAAAAUUUUGAUCUGUUCGAUCAUUAAAAUCUUACAUGAUCUGAGUUCAAACCGGUGUGAGCCAGGUUGGUUUCUAUCUUUAAAAAAUUAGAAUAUUUUAGUACGAAAGGAAUAAAUAUUUAAAUUAUAUUUAAGAAUUAAGAAUUUUAUUAAUUUAUUUUAUAAAUUAAAA